GAUGAACGCUAGCGGCAGGCCUAAUACAUGCAAGUCGGACGGGAUUCGGGUGCUUGCACCUGAUGAGAGUGGCGCACGGGUGCGUAACACGUAUGUAACCUACCUUAGUCAGGGGGAUAGCCUCCCGAAAGAGAGAUUAAGACCGUAUAACAUCAUUGAAUGGCAUCGUUGGAUGAUCAAAUAUUUAUUGGAAUAAUAUGGGCAUGCGAAACAUGAGCUAGUUGGUGUUGUAACGGCAUAACAAGUCUACGAUGUUUAGGGGAUCUGAGAGGAUGACCCACCACACUGGUAAUGAGACACGGACCAGACUCGUACGGGAGGCAGCAGUAAGGAAUAUUGGUCGAUGGACGGAAGUCUGAACCAGCCAUGCCGCGUGCAGGAAGACGGCCCUAUGGGUUGUAAACUGCUUUUGCAGGGGAAUAAACCUCGGUACGUGUACCGAGUUGAAUGUACCUUGAGAAUAAGGAUCGGCUAACUCCGUGCCAGCCGCCGCGGUAAGAC
rnacentral:rRNA from 1 species